UUGGUCAAUGUGUGGGUUCGGCAGCCAUGGCUGGUAAUGUGGUUAGCGGAAACACGUUAUUAAUUUGGUCAGAAAGAGGUGUGUCGAAUUUAUUCGCCUGGUGCAGCAAAGGUUGAUCCCGUUGAAAGGUGUUUGCUGACUCAUGAGAAUUUUACACCCUUACACGGCAUUUUGAGGUGAGGGCAAACUUGUCCCACCGCCUAUCAGGGCUGUUAGACAUGAAUGUUUGCUACCUCAUUGCACUAAAAGAAAAGUGCUAGAUAUGCAUCUUUUACAUGUCAGAACAAUAUGCAUUUUAGCAGUUUGGAGACACCAGGAAAUCAAGAGCGUCGAGACACCUUUUUCGUGAGCGCUAUUGUUAGAACGCACCAAACUGACAGCCCAAGGCCUGGCCAUUGUCUGUACAUUAGCAUAUUACGUUGCGCGCCAUUGCACAUGGCAGCAUAUCACGGCGAUGGAGUCACUGAGACCACAGACUGUACCUUGGCACAGUUUUAUUUAGGAUCUAAUAUAUAGCACCGGAAGAAAAAAAGAUAAUAAACCAUAUUAAAAUUACUUGACACAGUAUGGGGGGAUCCCUAAGCGAUUUUCAAUUUGACGCUUGAAAUACACACAAGGAAUGAACUAAUGAAAUGGCUGCGACUUCAGCUAGGCAAUUACAAUGUACUCAUUUAUUACACGUUGUAAGAGACACUUGUAAGACUCUGGUGCGAGGAGGAAUGUGUGCGUUACAUUUGGUUUAUGCAUUAAUUGUCAGGUUUGAAGCAGUUGAUGGGUAUGAUAUUCUAGCCAGCAAAAAAUAUAUAUGUAUUUAAACUUGGGCUAUAUUGAUAAAUUCCGCCACAUGACACAAUGAAGAGCACAACCGAACAAAAAGAUGACACACCGUGAAUUUUA